rnacentral:lncRNA from 1 species
GCUACUACCCAGAUAGAGAAAUUUUUGUCAUCACUCAAAACAAUAACGUGGGCACUAGCCAACAAAGAACCCCUCGACGGAUAGCGCAGCUCGACAACAUUUUAGAGGAUGAGUCAUCAGCUAACGCUCCGCAAGAUGAAACUUUCGAUCAAAGAAACCAAAGAAGGGUACGAAACAUUACUCGAGCUGAACGUCGACAAUUGCUAGCCACAAACAUUCCCAUCACAAACCUUGAAAGAGCAUUUGACGCAGUACAAGCUCAAGACCACAACACUCCACUCACAGCAAUUGAAUCAAUCAACCUUAUAUCAACUCUCAUA